GUGAGGAAUAUUGCGCAAUGGAGGCAACUCUGACGUAGCCAUGCCGCGUGCAGGAAGAAGGCGCUACGCGUUGUAAACUGCUUUUAACCGGGAAGAAACCCCAGGACGUGUCCUGGGUUGACGGUACCGGAGGAAUAAGCACCGGCUAACUUCGUGCCAGCAGCCGCGGUAAUACGAAGGGUGCAAGCGUUAUCCGGAUUCAUUGGGUUUAAAGGGUGCGUAGGCGGAGCGUUAAGUCAGUGGUGAAAUCCUGCAGCUUAACUGUAGACUUGCCAUUGAUACUGGCGCUCUUGAGUGCGCUUGAAGUGGGCGGAAUGUGCCGUGUAGCGGUGAAAUGCUUAGAUAUGGCACAGAACACCAAUUGCGAAGGCAGCUCACUAAGGCGAUACUGACGCUGAGGCACGAAAGCGUGGGGAUCGAACAGGAUUAGAAACCCCAGUAGUCC
rnacentral:rRNA from 1 species